GGAGAUGAGGUGCUGCUCCAACACCAUCCUGCACCAGGCUUGGCACCGAGCCCUGUGGUCCAGCUGCACGGUGGGGACGCCCCGCACGGACACCAACCCCUGCCACCUUGCAGCCCUUGCACCAACAGCAGCGGCAUUCCCUCCCUCUUCUGCCUCCCAGCCUUGCUGCCUCGUUUCUUGGGCCCAUAGGCUUUUCAGAGCCAAGUCUUCAAUUCGAUCUUGUUUUCAGUGCUGGCAUAAAGCUCGUCAGGAAAUCGCCAGGACGGUGAGGUGCUCCCUGCCCAGGGACACCCCGGCCGGCUGGCACAGCCCCUCCACUGGCACCUGCAAGAAGCCAGACAGCCGAACAGCCCCGCUUCCCCUGCUGUACUAUAACUGGGUGGCAUCUUCCCACAUGAAACUUCCUAAACCAAAACAAUACUUUUUAGGGUGGAUUAAAAUUAAUGAGACAGCUCGCAAGAAAUUAUUCCAAUUGAAAAGCCCAUUGAAAAAGAUUCAAAACAUCAGCACUUUUUAAAAAAAUUGUGGUUAAGUGCUGAUGGAAGAAAUCUCCGAGGAUGCAGUGCCCCUUUUUGCUACUGCAGAGCCAAAUAUGCUGUGGGUUAUCCUGAAAGAUGUUGCCAUUGCUUGCUUGAUGGUGAGUCGGUUCAGCUCCCUAAACCGGCCAAAGACUAGUUGCUUUUUGCAGGGUUGGUUUGAGGUCCGUGGCCAUGCCGGCUUGCUGCAGGCAGGAGGGCAGUGGCCGAAGGCUCCUGCCAGCAACAAAGAUCCCACAGCCCUGCGCGUGUGGGCUGUCCUGUAAAAACAGCCAUGUGGGAAAGCUGGAGAGGAGAGAAGAUGCUGCCUUCCUCCUCGGAUGGCCUUGCCAUGCACGUUUCUUAUAGCCAGGAUUUUUUUAGGGAUGUUGAUAAUAAUAUAAUCCUCACCUCUGGGGCAGCCAUCUGGGAAUUUAAACUGCCGCUGCCUUGCUAAAUUUCAUCCUCUUUGCCAGGGGCUCAGAUUAGAUCAGCUGUUUAAAUCAUUUUAGCGCUAAAUACAUGUUAUUUAGAAAACAGAGAAAAAGCAUGAAAGAUAUGAAUAAUUAGCUGUUAAAUGCUGCAUUCGCAUUCAGCAGAUUGCCCCAGGAAAUGUGAAGCUACUUCUCAAAUUAUCUACUGCCCAGCAGCCCCCUGAGCUAUUGAUCUACUGUCGGCAGCUUGUAAUUUCUCUAAUUUUUCCGCUGGAUGGAGCCCUGAGUGGGGAAAGCAGGUGAAACCAUGCUGUCUACCCUGUGAAUUUGGUUUCCCAUUUGGGACCAGCUGCUGACGUGGCUGUUCCGGUGCAGAGACCCUGUCACGGGCAGGCAGAGGCUGUCGUGAAUCCCAGCCUCUGUGCACGGCCCUGCUGCCGUGACAGGGAGGCAGGAACGAGUGGCG
rnacentral:lncRNA from 1 species